AAGCUGCGAUAAGUAAUGUGAAUUGCAGAACUCAGUGAAUCAUCGAGUCUUCGAACGCAUAUUGCGCCCCCUGGCAUUCCGGGGGGCACGCCUGUCCGAGCGUCGUCAAGGUCUACGUUCGGGCGACCCCUGGAGGGUCUCGAAAACCUCCCGGUGGGUCGCCCGGCCUUGGGUCGACCGCCCUCCUCGUCGAGGGCGGGGCCCGCAAGGCAAGAAAGUCGGUCCGUCCCUGGGAAAGAACCCCGAGCGCAGCGGCUGUCCCAGCUCGAGGAGGUUCCUUCCCGGGUCUCAAAGACAAUGACGGUGUCCGUGGGACACUCGGUGCAAUGAGCUUCUAGGAGCACGCAUCGAGGUCUACAGGACCUUCGGGGCCGAUCUUCCUGUUUUACUCUUCUCAGGUUGACCUCGGAUCAGGUAGGAAUACCCGCUGAACUUAAGC
rnacentral:misc_RNA from 1 species